CAAGGGUAAGCCACAGGGAGUCAGCAGGGCUGAGUGUGAUGGCGACACUUAGCGUGAAGAGGGAGAUAAGUGAAGAGCCACAGCACUUUCCAGUCAGUACUGGAAUGCCCUUCAUUUCCAGUCAUUCUCUGAAAAGUGCUCUUCCUUUUCUUAUUCAGAAAUUAAAUCAUUGAGGAAAGUCUGUAAGAAUGAGAUGGGAAAUACUCUGUCCCCUAGUUAGUAAGAUCUCAUUCAUCUCUGGACAUACAGAUUUAAGCUUUAGCAAGAUUCCACGUGAACAGAGUAUUGGUUUUAUGUUUUGAAAAUCUUACUAGAUACGUUGGCGUGUUCCCACAUCCCCAUAACACUCACAGGCCUCUGAUGAGGGAAUGCCAGAAAUGGGUCUGAGGGCAGCAGGUGCUGCGGAGGCACUGUAGGAGCGAGGCCCUGUCCCGGGACACCCAUCCUGCUGGGGAUUCCCUGGAGCAUCUGGUCCUCCUCAGCUGAGGCUGUCAGGUGAAGAAUCUCUGGAGCUGGAUGUGGACAAAUCCAUUCACAAGACAAGACACGGGGAUGGGCAGUCUCCUUGCUCAUUGCACUGUUUUCCCUGGCUGGAUUCGUUUGAUCACUGCUUCUCUAAAGAGCCCUAAGCUCAGAAUUUAGCUGCUUAAACACAUGGUCUUGUCUCUCUGAUUUUUUUUUCCUUUUUCAUCCAAGUAAUUUUGUGAAGGGGAAAACAUCCUCCAAUAACAGCAUUUCCCGGGGACUCUCCUCCUGGCAUGCCCACUAACCGCACCUGCACCCGGCUCUCUGACUGAUGCCGGCUCCACCAGCGGUCCGGUCUGGUCCGGUCCGGUCCAGUGCAGGGGGUCUAACGGUGUGUUUAUUUUCUCCUCCUGCUCUGUCUCUACCCAGAGUCUGAAGGAAGGCCUGACGGUGCAAGAACGGUUGAAGCUCUUUGAAUCCAGGGACUUGAAGAAAGACUAGGUGUGUCCCAUCCAAGUUGAGCACGCGCCUUCCCCAGCUUGCAGCAGCACACCCCAAGCGCUGCUUUUCACCUGUACCUUUGUUUUAUUAUUAUUAUUAUUAUUGCUGUUGUUGUCAUCGUUAACUGUGGGCAUGGAAUGCGUGAGGCUGGCUUCUGGGUUGUCCACACCACUCUCUGCUGUGUUGACUUCCUGUUGUCUUCAUCAAAGCUUUUUUCCGUGGUAUUCUAAAAUUAGGCCAGCAGUGGGGGCUGGGAGGGCAUCUGUGUUAGUCCUUUCCUGGCUGUGACCCGCCACACUCACUGUCAGUAUUAAGGCCCAGCAGCCUGUUGAUAAGCUACCCUGUCUCACCAUGUGCUGGUGUGGAAACGGGGCCCAGCCAGCACGCCUCAAGGUAGAUGGAAUCCCCACUGGUCAGAGAAAAAGCUAUGCGGACACUCCAGCUUGGCCUGGGUCACAGCACUGACUCCUCACCCGCUAGUCUGGCUGUUAAGAGGAGAAAGUGCACUGCCUUCCAGCCCAGGAGGAGGACAGCAUUUUGUAUUUGUUCCACUGAUGCAGCUUAGAACCACACCCCUGAGAGUCGUGGCAAACCUUUCACAACCUGGAAAAUGUUGAAAGCAACCAUUCCUAUUUUUGUUUGUUUUUUAUUAAAUCUUGCACAAAAUCCCCGGCCCCUCUCCUUCCUUCCUUCCUUCCUUCCUCCGCUCGUUCCUUUCUUGGUCUCCAGUAACCCUGGUCUUUUCAUAACUGCUCGAGAUUGUUGACCUGCAGCCCAGGUUUCAGACUCUGAUUGCAAAAAACAAAUGAAUUCCCCCCAGGAAUCAUUCAAAAUGGGGGAAGGUUUGGGGGUUUGGGUUUUUUUUUUACCUUUUGGAAAAGAAACCGUCACAUUGCUUUGGAAAAGGUUGAGAGGAGACCCCUGUUAAGUCAAGAAGAAAGUACAGAGGAUGUCAGAAUCUGAUGAGAACAGCACAUUAGUGUUUAUUGAGACUCCGAUCUUAACUCUCAUUUAAUUAAUCUGAGCUCUGAAAACCUAUCUUGCAGCAUUUAUCUUUAAAAGAGCCUGGUUAAAGUAAACCUAUACUAACAAUUUUGCUUUUUCUAACAGUUUGAGGAAGACCUUUUUAACCACCACAAAACAUUCUAUGGCAAUUCUUGAAAAUCUCUUAAAUUGGAGUCUAUUAUGGCCCCAUGAAAACCAUUAAUCCCAUUAAGAUAGGGAGUAUAAACCCCUGGCUGGUGGAACAGGUUCUGCUACUUUAGGAGCAAGGUGGGGUGUGAGUAGAUGGUUUUCAUGCCAAGAACAUGCUUUCACUUUGUAUUCAUGCUUGUGUUGGUGUGAUGGUCUCUGUGGGUGGGUGGAUGCUUUGGGCGUUGAAAUCUAGAAAUCCUGUUGCUCAGUUUCUAGAUGAAGUCAUGAGCAAGGCCAUCAGUGGAGCUCUGGCCCCGCCCCCAAUGUGCAGAAGGGCCGGGAGCAAGGCCUGGAGUUUUCAUGUGUUUUCAGACCCAGGUUUAGGUGCUCUCUUCUCACUGAAAUAACUAAGUGCUCUCCACUGGCAUCGAGCCCUUUCCACAAGUUUUUAAGGCUCUUAACCCACACUUUCACUCCUCUGCUACUAGUCUUCAGUGUUGUUAACAGCAAGAGAAAAUUGGGUUUGUUUAAAAAUCUACUUCUCUGAGGUGGCACAGUUGCGUAGCUGUAGUCCCAGCUACUCAGGAGGCUGAGGUAGUAGGAUUGCUUGAGCCCGGGAGGUCGAGGCUGCAAUCAGUCAUGAUCGUGUCACUGCACUCCAGCCUGGGUGACAAAGCAAGGCCCCAUAUCAGAUAUAGAUAUACUUAUCAGACCCCCCCUGACCAUUUAGAUUGGCAGUGCUUUGAGAAAUGCACUAUGACCUUUCUGUGUCAAUGGGAAUAUACAGAAGGAACAUUCGGGACCCCGCUGUCCCCCACAGCCUCAUUGUUGUCUCCAGGACACUGCUGGGUCACACGAAUGCUCCAGGACAGACAGGGACCUGGAGUGCAUCAGGAUCUGACCAGAUAGGAGUUUUUGCCUCGUGUCUGGGUGCUACGAUUUUGUGCCGUUCUCUGAGGUCCACCACCUGCCCUUCCUGGCAUGGUUUCCUUCGUGACCAUCCCUGCUGCCCCUGGGGGUGGACCCCACUGGCCCUUCUGCAGACAGCUCCCUGCCUUCUGCCCUCCAGGGGGUUCUGGCCAGAGUCCAUGCUUGGAGACAGGAUCAUCUGCCUUCAGCCCUCACAGUGCUUUAAAUUAAAGCAAGUUUGCCCAUAGGACAAAAGAGCAUUUGAUUCCCUUUUUUCUGUCACAUAUCCCUUGAGGCUGGACUUCAGGAAUCCUGGAAAAUUAAUAUGAGUGCAGCAUGUGAGGGGUCAGAGACAGGCCAGCAGGGCGUCUGCAUUCCUCCCUGCCACAGGUCUCUCCCCAGAGGCUGGUUUAGUGUAGGGUAUUGCCAGGAAACGGACUGAGGCUGCUUUGCUAAGAGCUCCUGAAAAUGCCCUGGGCCUGUCCUGGCGUUUCUGAAGAGCCCUCAUACAGGGACAGCCACCAUCUGGGUCAAGGAAGUCUGGGUUCCCUGCUGGUGGGCUCCAUCCUGCGAUGGAGUGAACCAGGCGAGAAAGGAUGACGAUGUUCUUCAUGUUGCACCUGGACAUGCCCCAGGAACAGAGACUUGCCCAGGUGGCAACACUGGCACAGAUGUUGACGGCUGCCCAACUGGUGCCACACUGAGCAGGGAGCCUUGUGCUGCACAGGGCUGGGCCCUCUCUCCAGUUUCCUUCCUGCAGGCAUCCAAAUACCCUGGAAGGGAUUUAACCCCUGAAUUCCAGAGGGAAGAAAGAAGAACAGUGAAGAAGUAGAACUGGUUUCUGUAUGGGGAGAGGAAAGUCUUAGGGACAGCUGCAGGCGGGGUCUCAGGCUGCUCCUUGGCACCAGCUACACAGUAGUGAGCUUUCCCAGCUUUACCGAUGAGGAAGAAGUUCAAAUAGAUAGACUUCAGCAUUUUAAUUAUUUUCCUAUAAAUGUAUUUAUGUGUAGUAUGCUAGCACCAGCCAGUAAGCUGUGCCACACAUAUGAAUGGGAAAGCGAGGCAGUUGUGCUCGUGUGAGUUUCUGCAGGCUUGUGGGUAAUUACCUUGUGUGCACGCCUGCACGUGCAGAAUAGUCACUUUCUGCUGGUCAGUUUCUUUAUCCACCCAUGGUGCCCCAGCCCCAGGCAGGUGUGGAGACCAGCAUUUCAGAGGACGCGCUGUCCACAGCCUCCCGGGUCUGAGUGGAUCAUUGGGCAGGGGUGGAGACAGUGCGCUGCCCUCUGAGCUGGAAGCCUGUGCUUCAGGGAGUCAUAAUGGGCCUGUGCUAAGUGGGUGAUGCAGUGGACAUCCCAGGGCGACUAGAGGUGGCAGUAUCGCGAAUUUGCAGGUUUAUUGAACAAGAGGUAACAUCGGAGAGGAUCUUGCCUUCGGAUUCAGCAAGUAUGAAGGCAGAAGAGCAUGGAGAGCAAGGCCCCACAGCCUGCUUAGUGAGUUGGAAGGCCCAGCAAGAACCUGUUUCUGCAGCAGCCACCAGCUCCCAUCACCCCUUGACCCUCCAGCUCAUGCUGGAGAAGAGGGAAUUUUGGCUGUUUAAAGAACACAGUUGUGAAUCUCAGAAUGUGCCUGAAAGGAAUACUGACAGAUAAGGCCGGAAACAAAACUGAUGGCUUGAAAAACAUUUUUAUGGAAUGUAUUUACUAUCAUUUUGUUUUACUAUAGAGGU
rnacentral:lncRNA from 1 species